AGCGAACGCUGGCGGCAGGCUUAACACAUGCAAGUCGAGCGCCCCGCAAGGGGAGCGGCAGACGGGUGAGUAACACGUGGGAACGUGCCUUUUGGUUCGGAACAACCCAGGGAAACUUGGGCUAAUACCGGAUAAGCCCUUACGGGGAAAGAUUUAUCGCCAAAAGAUCGGCCCGCGUCUGAUUAGCUAGUUGGUGGGGUAAUGGCCCACCAAGGCUACGAUCAGUAGCUGGUCUAAGAGGAUGAUCAGCCACAUUGGGACUGAGACACGGCCCAAACUCCUACGGGAGGCAGCAGUGGGGAAUAUUGGACAAUGGGGGCAACCCUGAUCCAGCCAUGCCGCGUGAGUGAUGAAGGCCUUAGGGUUGUAAAUCUCUUUUAGCAGGAAAGAUAAUGACGGUACCUGCAGAAAAAGCCCCGGCUAACUUCGUGCCAGCCGCCGCCGUAA
rnacentral:rRNA from 1 species